rnacentral:hammerhead_ribozyme from 1 species
AUCCAGCUGACGAGUCCCAAAUAGGACGAAACCCGCGCCCUGGAU